ACAAACUUGGUCAUUUAGAGGAAGUAAAAGUCGUAACAAGGUUUCCGUAGGUGAACCUGCGGAAGGAUCAUUACGAAGAGAGUUCUUUUGGUUAAUUCCGAAGAAUUACUCCCACCCUUUGUGUAUCUCAAGCUGAAAACUAGCUUCGGCGGGCUGUCGGUUCAGCGAUGGAUUGACGUCGGCUCUUGGGCGGAUUCGCGCCCGCCGAAGACUUCAAACUCUUGAAUUCUUGCAAAAGUCUGAAUCAAAACAUGAUAAUCAAUCAAAACUUUCAACAACGGAUCUCUUGGUUCUGGCAUCGAUGAAGAACGCAGC
rnacentral:misc_RNA from 1 species